GGACUACAGCUCAGUGGUAGAGCAUUUGCUUUGCAUGCAGAAUGUUCCAGGUGCAAAUGUUGGCAUCUCCA